rnacentral:siRNA from 1 species
AAACAGUGUGUAAUUCAGUUGUU